rnacentral:rRNA from 1 species
GGCUCAUCACAUCCUCCCGCUGGAGCAGGUGGGAAGGGUUGGGCUGUUCGCCCAUUAAAGUGGUACGUGAGCUGGGUUCAGUACGUCGUGAGACAGUACGGUCUCUAUCUACCAUGCGCGUUAGGAAACCUGAGGGAAGCUGGCCACAGUACGAGAGGACCUGGCUGGACGAACCUCCUGUAUACCAGUUGUCCUGCCAAGGGCAUCGCUGGGUAGCGGAGUUCGGAAGGGAUAAACGCUGAAAGCAUCUAAGCGUGAAACCCGUCUCAAGAUUAGGUUUCCCGUUCCCGGGCGCAAGUCUGGGGACCAGAAGGGCACCGGAAGACUACCGGUUUGAUAGGCCGCAAGUGUAAGCGCUGCAAGGUGUUAAGCUAAGCGGUACUAAUCGCCCGAGAGGUUUGGCCGUAU